AGCAGCCGCGGUAAUUCCAGCUCCAAUAGCGUAUAUUAAAGUUGCUGCAGUUAAAAAGCUCGUAGUUGAAUUUCGGGACUAAUAUGUCGGUCGUGCCUCGGUACGUACUGGCUUAUUGGUUUCUCCUUUCUGAAGAACCAUGAUGUCAUUUAUUUGGUGUCGUGGGGAAUCAGGACUGUUACUUUGAAAAAUUAGAGUGUUUAAAGCAGGCUUUAGCUUGAAUACAUUAGCAUGGAAUAAUGAAAUAGGACGUUCGAACCUAUUUUGUUGGUUUCUAGGAUCAACGUAAUGAUUAAUAGGGAUAGUUGGGGGCAUUAGUAUUCAAUUGUCAGAGGUGAAAUUCUUGGAUUUAUUGAAGACUAACUACUGCGAAAGCAUUUGCCAAGGAUGUUUUCAUUAAUCAAGAACGAAAGUUAGGGGAUCGAAGACGAUCAGAUACCGUCGUAGUCUUAACCAUAAACUAUGCCGACUAGGGAUCGG
rnacentral:misc_RNA from 1 species